CAAGACGCUUAGCUGAGGGGUGCAUAAAUAGUGAGGCUGGUGCCGCCUCCUCACCCCUGCCUUGGAAAAACCAGUUUCUUUUAUUGUCUGUGGCCAAGCUCUGUUCGGCUCUCCACCCCCUCUCCUUCCCAGCUUCCUUUAGCCCCCUCGCCUCCACUUUCUCCUACUUUCCUAUUGUCUUUCACGUGUCCCUUUCUCCAGGAGCAACUUCUGCUCUGCUCAGGCUGCUGAGCUGGGCACCCUGUAGAGCAUGUGCUGCUUUCUUCUCCCAGCCUCAAUUCUUGAGGGCAAAAGACUUUCCCAAGACUUAAAAUUUCUUUUUUUUCCCCCUAACCCAGGAUUCUUCAACAAUCUUUCAGCUUGGUUCUCUCUUAAGACAGAAAACGAUGUAUUAUUUUGCAUCAAAGGCAAAGCUGAGCCCGAUGUCCGAAGGUAUAGGUACUCCUAUGUACUCAGGUGAGUCUGAAAUCUCUGGAUUUGCCGGGUGAGUGGCUAGAUCCUGGGGAUCUUAGAGUAAGAAGGGAAGAGUGGAAACGGCAGUCUUCAUUGGGAGUCAAUCAUUAACUUCCUUCUUUGUCUUCCUGAGGACUUCUGAGCUGCUGGGUGGUAAAUCUUGGUGAUAAUGGAAGCUGGUUCCAGGCAGCUGAACAGCAGCGUGGCAGCUCUGUCUGGCUUCCUGGGGAUUGGCUAGAGGAAUGUGUUUGACUGCCUAGUCCUGGGGUGCUAAGAGCAGCUCUCACAGUAAAUGCAAGAACUGCUUCCCUUCUGUGGUUCUCAAGUCCAAGGUGCUUCUUUAAGACCUUUAUGGGACAGUUCUGAAGGCAGCUGAAGAGCAGUCACUGGCUAAAACUCACUCUAUAGCCCAACAUGAGUCUUGUUGGGUCUCUGACUCAACCCAGUACUGCAACUGGCCAAGACAGUGGUCACUGGGGGAUUACAUUUGUAGAGGCCUACUGAGUGGGAGAACUUGAAUACUAGAUGCUUGUUGCUCAGGGUGGAUCAGGUCUCAGGAUCCAGGUUCUAGACCAACUCUUCUUACCGCAGCUGCAGGUCUACAGGACCAGAGGGGCAUGAUGAGGGAAUGGUAAGCCUUUCCUGAGGACCUCCACCCUGACCCUGUUCAUAUGGCCUGUCACCAUUAUCUUAUAUUUUUGGUUGUGAGCCUAGCCUUUAACGGCUGAGCCAUCUCUCCAGCCCGGCCUGUCAUCAUUAUCAAGCCUUUUCUUCCCUGGAAAGCACCAGAGAUCAGGAUCUCAAAUGAGGAUGAGUCCAGCUGUGGACUUGAGGAAUCUGGUGGGCUGUCUUAAGGAAGGUCUGGGUAGAGAACUGAUAGUGACCCCUUUGCUUUCAGAACUGAGCUGAAAUCCGAACAGAAGCCAAGACUCCUUCUAUCCCAGAACAUCUCUCACAGUCUCCUACCUUCCUUAGUCAAAGCCAAAAGACUGGUGUCUUUCUCCUCUUUGAUUAGAAAGUAGGUCAAAGGUGGUGUGGGGGCUUCAGUGGUCUGGAUAAUUCACAAACAAAGCAUACUUCUUACUAUUGAAAAGUAAGUAUUCACUGGAAGGCUGAGCAGAAGAUCCCCUGAACCUCUUGCCUUUAGCACACAGAGCCCUACUUUCUAAUGAGCCCUGUGUACACCCUGAGGAAGAUGAUUUCCUUUGGAUCUAGGAAAGUGGGAUUCUCCCCUAACCAUAGCUAGAAACCCCUGCUUUUGUGUAAGAGCCUUUCUCAGAAGCCUGAUGCCCUGGGGGCUGGAUGGGAGAGGUGGAGCCUCUUGUCAGGUCAGAACAAGCCCAGGAACAAGAAAGUAUUCCAAACAAGGCAGUUCAACCCUACCCACCCAGUCUGCAUGUCUCUGCUUAGAGCAGGCUUUUAUGAGGUUUAUGCUGAGCAGCAGACGAGUCUGAACACAGCAAGGACAAGGCCAAUGCAGUCCCUGCAAAGUUCCUGCUUGGUGGGCAUUUUCUUUUGGGCAGGGACAGAAAGUCCACAGGUUCUACAGGGCCUCCCUCUCCUGACCCCUACCCUAGGCUCCCUGGCGAAGUCAUUCACUGAUUCUAUGCAGAACUGGGGAAAGACAUAUGGCCAUCGGAGGCUGGCUUUCCCAGACAAGUCUGUGGGAAGAGGACCAAGAAUUCUUCUUUCCACCAUCCACCCGCCCCCAUAAACAGGCCUGCUCCAGCAGAGUCCUUGUCCUUCCUCAGCUCCUCCUCAGCUUAUCUUGAUUUCACACUAGCACACAGGCCCAAACUAGGCUGUUCAUGCCCUCACACAGCGGCUUUUUCAGAAGAAGACCUGUGCUCCUGCAUUCCACCAUUUGAUUUCAGUGGAGUGAAGCUCAGGAGGCAUGGAGCUGCCAGCGGUGAACCAAAGCAGGGCGCCACAACAACAGAGGCAUUCUUCAAAAAAUGCAGUCACCGAAGGUGUCUGCAGCCUGCGGAGAGACGACAGCAGCAGACAAGAAAGCACUGCCAAUGAGAGCGGUGUGGCCUUUCUUCCUAAAACUGAUGCUUCAGAAAUGUGUGUUUUCUGCAACUUACAAAAGUUAAAAGUUGCCUGUCUGCUGAGGAGCCUUCCCGAAUGUACCCUGUGCUGUCAGUCUCCAGAGCCUGCUCCCCUGGGGGUUAAAUACCACAGGAGCUCAAGGAUGUCCUCCUGGCUCCCUGGCUCCCUCUCUCCCCAGGGACCCCAGGGAGGUAGCUGGGACAUCAUUUGCAACCAGCCAGGGAUCCUAUUGCCUUCAGACUCCCCACAGUGCUAACAAGACCUGCAGAAUUGGGGAGGAAAUCCCCAUUAAGAUUAUUUAAGUCUAUUUAUAUUAUAAUAAAAUAAAUGUAAAUAAGACUUAAAUGAAGGCAGGUUUAGAUCUUUCUGACACUGUACAGGAUAUAACUCAGCACGCAGUGUAAAUUCUGUAAAGGUUAAUGCAUUUAAACAUAUUUGACACAUAAAGCUGCCAGAUCCGACUUUAAUCACUCACCAAGUGUAAUUGCCUUUCCAUGGGUCCCUCUGCACCAGAACAUGUGCUUAAAACAUGAGGCUGUAUGGAAAUCUGGGGUGUGAUGGGGACAAAUACUUCUUGGCUGUCAGGGUUUAUGAUUUGCUUUGAUAGAUUUGGCACCGAUUUCAUUGACUGCACACCCUAAGUGACCAUUACUUUGCUUAGUUUUGUUUCUUGUUUUAAACACUGCAUCUCUCCUUCAGGGAAGAAGAUGUAGGUUUGGGGUAGGGCAUAAGUCCAAAGGAAAUUCACUUAGUAUAAAGGACCUGCCCAGAGAAGUUCUUUAUGGAAUUGCCCCUUCUUCGAUGGAGGGAUCUGCUUGAGGAGCCACCCGGCUAAAAAGGCAGACACUAAACAAAACCCACCAAAGGAAACCCAGUUUUCACCUCUGGAAGAUGCCCUCUGUGGCCAGGCUCAACAGAACCCACAGCUGCCGUUUUUCUCAGGAACUAAGUGUAAAGGCUGCUUUGGUAUCCUAGACCCUGUGUCCUGAGUGCCUCCAGUGGCCUCUUUACCUCCCCAGCCCAUCUGCCCCAAAGAGUUCCUCACUGAACCAGAGGAAACAGCGUUUAUCUUAAAUGUCUUACCCUCUUGCUUCAAAUUAUUAUGAUGUCAAACUCAGCCCAUCACCAACAGUAUACUGAGCCCCACAAAGGGGUGAGGAGACAAAGCCAUAGGUAUUUUUAAAAGAAACCUGUUUACUCAUAAAAAUAAUGUAGUGGAUCUGACUGGGGAAACCACAGUGGUCUGGGUAUUGAGCUAGUGAACUGACAAAUGCCUUCUGUUCCAGUCUCAGCAAGAAAUCCAAAGGCUAAAAGAAAGCACCAGGCAGACAUAAUAUGAUAUUUCCAUGGGUGGGGUUGCUUGAACCCCAUAACCUUGUUCUUUUCUAGAGAAGGAAACACACUUGCGUGUCUCUGUGUAACCCAGCUCACGAGGGACAAGAACCAAAGUGGCUAGUUAUGAUUACAGAAGAGGAGACUGCAGAGCAUUCUAGGACAUGAAGCUGUAACCAAGGGCUCUGUCUCCACACCCUGGAGUGGAGUCCCACUCCAGACCAGCUCCACAUUUUCAGCUGAGACUGGGCCUCUGCAUGUCUGGCAAUGAGGUCUGAACAGCCCAUGUCCUCCCUCUGGCAGCUGAGAUUGCUGGUCCCUCACACAGAAGCAAAAGUCCUUGUGCUCGGCCUAGAGUAGCCUGUCAGGGAAGUGUGUGAAGCGAGAGCUGGAGAGAACUGCCCAUCCAUCUUCCCCUCCAGGCCUCCAGUCUUCUAUGUCUCCUGUCCUGGCUGCAAAGUAUGGCUCAGCACAAACAUAGUGUUGAGGAAAUAGUUUAAUCAAAAACACCCUUGCAACAGUAACAAAAAAACAAUAUUACCCGCUUUCUGUAUUCAUAGUCUUUUAUUGAAGAGAAAAGCAAAUAUCAUUGAGCCAAACCUGAGUAGACAAAUAUAUACAACCACUGGUAAUUUAAUAUUUUGUGCUAAUGGUAUACACUAUAGAUACAACCCAAGAGGAGUAAAUUACAAUCCUAUCAAUAAUACAUUGUGUCUGGGCUCUGGGUUCCCAGUACACAUGAAAAUGUGUAUUGGCAAAAAGUCUCCGAAUAUUAAAAGCUGUAUGUAUAAUGAGGUGCAGGACACAGAAUCUAGGGACUCCCUUAGCACUGUGUUCUGGACAUUAAGGCCUUCAAUGUAGGAAACAGCCCAUGCUGCCAUUUCUGAAGCUUACAUUAAAUGACCAUAAGCCACCAUAUCCUCAGCAGAUCUCCAGGUGAGAAGCAACCUGCCAGCUUGUAAGACCACAGCCAUGUAGUUUAAACCAUGGGAGGUGCCCAGUGUCCACUAUGAGGCUAGAGGGGCUCCAGAGAGCCCUGGGACAGAUGGUAAUGCUUGAGUGAAAGACCACGGGGCUUUCCUCUUGACCAAGCCUCUCCAAGGUGUGCAGGGUCUUCUAAAACAAAGGAAGAGAGGAAGGCAGGCUAAUGACAGGUAGGGGCCACCUGCCCGGGGGGAGCAGGCAUUUUAGAACUGCAAAUGUUCCAGCCGCUACAGUUUUUCCUGCUUGUCUAAAUUUGCCCUUUGCUGCCUGCAGGAGAGGCGUGUGACAGUCUUGCUUCAGAAUGGGGAAGUAUUUCUGCCAUGCUAACAUGAAAAAUGAGGAUGAAUUAGGUUAAUGUCUGCAGGAACGCUAGUUAGUGCCACUGUCACACACUAGUCCCUGAUUCAAAGAAUAUUGAGGGCAGGUGGGGCCAGGACUUCUUGUCUUUUUUUUAAUCAGACCCUGAAAGAAGGAGAGUCUAAGGAAGGAGGGGAGGCCAUGAGGGCUCCGAAGAAGAAUGCUGUGACUGUAGAUUGCAGUUUCUAGCUCAGAGAUGAAAGGGACUGGUCAGACAUACAGCAAUUCCUUAACAAAAAUAGAAGCUUCCUGAAUUGUGGUGACUUCUCUAGGCUUUCUGGAGAGAUUCGACUCUGCAUCAAAGAACAAGGCAAACAGUUCCUUUUGUCUAGAGAUAAGAAGCCGCAUCUGAAAGUUUCUUCACCUCCCCAUGCCCCUCCCCCUUCCAUCUAUCCUACCUCCCCCUUCUCCAAGUCUGCCUUUCCCAGGCAAGGGUGGGACACCUGGUGGGAAGUAGGGGAAUUGCACUAGAUGGACACUGAGAUAAGGGAAAUAGGCUAGAAGUGCAUGUAGGGAAUGCACUUCCCUGUAGGGAAGCAACACCAAAGAAGACCUUUGGCAGAAAGUAACUUCAAUAUUGGCUCUGUUCAAUUAUAUCUGAGAAAGACAGGUGGCUAAGAACUACUGUAGUAAGCCCAUAGGUGAGCAAAUACAUGGGAUGACUAGUACAGUUGCCUCAUUAUAAUGUUGAAAGUGGGUGUCACCUCAAAGGACAAGCUAAAGAUCUGGGAGGAGUCCCUGCCAAGGGAUUCCGCAGGUGAGAAGUGCUCACUGGUGUAGACUUCACCCAGUGGUUUCCUGCAGCAGCCCAAAGCUCCUGAGUCAGCAUGUGAGUGGUUAAGAGGGGGCAGAUUAGAUCUGGUGCCAAUUUGACCUGGCCACCCGACUCUGGGCCAGCCACUUAACCUCUCUGAGACCCAAUUUCCUUAUCUGUCAAGUAGGAAUAACGACAACAAUGUCAAGGGCUUGUGAAGAGCCAGACGCUGAGUGUGUCUAUAGCAUAAUUUAAUGCUCCCGGCCAUUAGCAGAUGCAAUUGACAUUUCAGGUUUAUAGGUGACAGAGGGUGAGGGACCGGCCUGAAGUCACAAGGCUUGUAAACAGAGGAGCUGGAAGUCAGGCCUCGGCUCUCUGUUCCAGACUUGGCACUGGGACCAUUGCUCCAUCCCCUCACUUCAUGCUGGCUUUGGAUCUAGAGUGACCCAGAGUCAGUGGUGCAUAGGGUGGGACCUCAGCCUCUGGCCUGCUGAGAGAUACCAGAACUUCUCAAGGGGUAGCGGAGGGCUAAUAGCAGAAAUUCAGGUAACCAGAGGCCAGGCCUGGCUUUCUGUCUCUCCAUUUCCCAGCUCCUCUAAAGUAAGUAAGUGACUUUGCCCCACCACACCCUCCUCGCCAUGAUGUUCUCCUCAUUACAAGCUGCAGAACAAUGAAGCCAAGCGGCAAUGGAGAGAAGCCUCUGAAGCCAAAUUAAAUCUUUCCCCAUUCUAGGCUGAUUCUCUCCAGCAUCUUAUCACAAUGCUAAAGAGCUGACAGAGAGGAUAACACACACGGAAGAACCAGCAAGUGUCUGGAGAAUCUAUGCAUUUAAGAAUGCUAUCCAUCAUUUUCAUCUCGGUAGCAAGCAAAAAAGAAAAAAGAAAAAAAAAAACCUUUGACAAGUUUGUCUAGCACCCCUCACCUGCCUUGUUCCCCACUCCUGCCUGGAACAGUUAACAGGGGCACACCACCAGAAACCCAGCUGCUGUGGAACACCGUCUUCUAGCAUGUCGUGCCCACCACUCCCCUGAACUGUCAGUGCCUGCGAUGAUCUAGACUGACAGAAACCACACACAUCUGGGUGCAUCCACUUUCCAUCAAAAAUUUAGAGAUACUUAAUGGUUGCUAGAGCUAGGGGGUCAUGGGGUCCCACCCCUCCUCAAGAAUGUAUAGACAGGUAACAGAUGCUGGAGAGGGGCAGCAUUGUUUUCUUGAGUGGUCUCACUGCCCAUAAGUUGCCCAUGCUUCUGUAAGUACCAACAGUUAAACUCCCGGGUCACCAGGCUGUACCUGGGUGGAAUCAUUUCUGGAUUUCAGUCACUGGUGCUCUAUCUAGGGUAAAUAUGCCUUUUUUU